rnacentral:rRNA from 1 species
ACCGGCAGCUCAAGUGGUGGCCAUUUUUAUUGGGCCUAAAGCGUUCGUAGCAGGUUUGAUAAGUCUCUGGUGAAAUCCCGCAGCUUAACUGUGGGACUUGCUGGAGAAACUAUUAGACUUGAGGUCCGGAGAGGUUAGGGAUACUCCCAGUCUAGGGUUGAAGUCCUAUGAGCCUGGGAAAACCACCUCUGGCGGAGACGCCUAACUGGAUUAGACCUGACAGUGACUAGCGAAAACCAAUAGCGAGAGCCG